rnacentral:rRNA from 1 species
CCUACGGGUUGCACCAGUGGGGAAUAUUGCACAAUGGGCGCAAGCCUGAUGCAGCCAUGCCGCGUGUGUGAAGAAGGCCUUCGGGUUGUAAAGCACUUUCAGCGGGGAGGAAGGCGGUGAGGUUAAUAACCACAGCAAUUGACGUUACCCGCAGAAGAAGCACCGGCUAACUCCGUGCCAGCAGCCGCGGUAAUACGGAGGGUGCAAGCGUUAAUCGGAAUUACUGGGCGUAAAGCGCACGCAGGCGGUCUGUCAAGUCGGAUGUGAAAUCCCCGGGCUCAACCUGGGAACUGCAUUCGAAACUGGCAGGCUAGAGUCUUGUAGAGGGGGGUAGAAUUUCAGGUGUAGCGGUGAAAUGCGUAGAGAUCUGAAGGAAUACCAGUGGCGAAGGCGGCCCCCUGGACAAAGACUGACGCUCAGAUGCGAAAGCGUGGGGAGCAAACAGGAUUAGAUACCCCCGUAGUC